rnacentral:rRNA from 1 species
GAUGAACGCUGGCGGCAUGCUUUACACAUGCAAGUCGGACGGGAAGUGGUGUUUCCAGUGGCGGGCGGGUGAGUAACGCGUAAGAACCUGCCCUUGGGAGGGGAACAACAGCUGGAAACGGCUGCUAAUACCCCGUAGGCUGAGGAGCGAAAGGAGGAAUCCGCCCAAGGAGGGGCUCGCGUCUGAUUAGCUAGUUGGUGAGGUAAUAGCUUACCAAGGCCGUGAUCAGUAGCUGGUCCGAGAGGAUGAUCAGCCACACUGGGACUGAGACAAGGCCCAGAGUCGUGGGGGGAGCACAGGGGGGGAAGUGUCCGGAGUGGGCAGAGGGCGGAGGGAGAGAGGCGGGGUGGAGACAAAAGGCGGACGGUAGUUGUAGUGGUUUGGCAGGAGAAGAAAAUAGUGGGGUGGGUGGGAAAGAAGCAGCGGCAUACGCUGGGCCAGCAGCGGGGGUAAUCGGAGGAGGGGCCAUGGCUUGAAC